rnacentral:rRNA from 1 species
AGUGAACGCUGGCGGUAGGCCUAACACAUGCAAGUCGAACGGCAGCACAGUAAGAUCUUGCUCUUACGGGUGGCGAGUGGCGGACGGGUGAGGAAUACAUCGGAAUCUACUUUUACGUGGGGGAUAACGUAGGGAAACUUACGCUAAUACCGCAUAUGACCUACGGGUGAAAGCAGUGGAUCUUCGGACCUUGCGCGAUUGAAUGAGCCGAUGUCGGAUUAGCUAGUUGGCGGGGUAAAGGCCUACCAAGGCGACGAUCCGUAGCUGGUCUGAGAGGAUGAUCAGCCACACUGGAACUGAGACACGGUCCAGACUCCUACGGGAGGCAGCAGUAGGGAAUAUUGGGCAAUGGGCGCAAGCCUGAUCCAGCCAUACCGCGUGAGUGAAGAAGGUCUUCGGGUUGUAAAGCUCUUUUGUUGGGAAAGAAAAGCAGCAUGAUAAAACCCCGCUGUUCUGACGGUACCCAAAGAGUAAGCACCGGCUAACUUCGUG